UACGGACUGCGCAAACGUUAUUCGGAAUCACUGGGCUUACAGGGUGCGUAGGCGGCCGAUCAGGUCCGGUGUGAGAUCCCACAGCUCAACUGUGGAAUGGCAUUGGAAACCGAUCGGCUUGAGUGGGCUAGAGGUGCUCGGAACUUCCGGUGGAGCGGUGAAAUGUGUUGAGAUCGGAAGGAACACCAGAGGCGAAAGCGGUGCACUGGAGCUUGUCUGACGCUGAGGCACGAAAGCCAGGGGAGCAAACGGG
rnacentral:rRNA from 1 species